AGUAUUAAAUUUACCUUUCCAUGGCGCGUGGAACAUGGCCAGCAAAUGCUGGAAGAACAGGAAUCAUUCCAAAGGCCCGCAUUCGCUCCAAUAUCUUGUGCUGAAGUGCAAGAGUCGCUUGGUGCCAAUUAUCGCUUAAAGUUAUACCCAUCCUCGAAAAUUUCCCAUUCGUUGCCUGGAGAGAAGAUUUUGGUUUAAGCCCGUGGAAUGGAAUGUAAAGUACCAAGUUAUGGAAUCGAUUUACCAAGCAAAGAAAGCUGGACCAGAAAAAUGUUCAUCAAGGUCUGCCUGUACUAGGCCUAGUCCCAAAUAAACUCGUUGCCAAAUAACCUCUUGUCCGGUAAAAGCUAAAGGCAAAUUAAUUCCGUUCAUUGCCAUCCAGUCAAUUUCACGUUCCCAUCGCGGCCACUGCCACCAAGCAAAACUGUAGCUUACCGUACACGUGUUCUGAUAGUAACGGAAUCUGUAUAAUGUUUGUAAUUAACCUGUUAGUCUUUCCUCAAGCUUUUAACGCGAAGAAACAAAAGUACCAUACUUAUCUAAAGAAGUGAUCCGUACUGAGACGUCGGGUAAAUCCGCAGGUAAAUUCAACUGGUCUGUAUCCCACGACACUUGGCAAUGACAGAAUUGAGUUAAAUAGUAAUGAAAUCCCCAUGCUGCCAUUACACCAGUGGAUCCUCGAACGACAACUGUUGCAUUCCCUGCGACCUUUUCGAUCUGCAAUUAAGUGGCACACAAACAUUGUCUUAAGACAACAAAAACCUGGAAGUAUCCAUUUUCUUCUCCGGGCAGGCCUGACUCAACCGUAACAUCGAAUUCAUUUGCACGUCCUGGAAUAAGACGGCCGAUCAGGUCUGUGACGGCUUGCGCUUGGAUCUCCACGGAGGUGCGCGUAUGGAUUUUGUCCAGCGGUACG